AGGGGUUUUUGAUCAUGGCUCAGAAUCAACGCUGGCGGCGCGCCUAACACAUGCAAGUCGAGCGAGAAAGUCCGCUUCGGCGGAUGAGUAAAGCGGCGCACGGGUGAGUAACACGUGGGCAACCUACCCUUCAGUGGGGGAUAACCCGGGGAAACCUGGGCUAAUACCGCAUAACAUCCCGCCGACCUCGGUGGGCGGGAUCAAAGGAGCAAUUCGCUAGAGGAGGGGCCCGCGGCCGAUUAGCUUGUUGGUGGGGUGACGGCCCACCAAGGCAAAGAUCGGUAGCCGGUCUGAGAGGACGCACGGCCACACUGGGACUGAAACACGGCCCAGACUCCUACGGGAGGCAGCAGUGGGGAAUCUUGCACAAUGGGGGAAACCCUGAUGCAGCGACGCCGCGUGAGCGAAGAAGCCCUUCGGGGCGUAAAGCUCUUUCGGCGGGGACGAGUCUGACGGUACCCGCAAAAGAAGCCCCGGCUAACUACGUGCCAGCAGCCGCGGUAAUACGUAGGGGCCAGCGUUGUUCUGGAAUUACUGGGCG
rnacentral:rRNA from 1 species